rnacentral:rRNA from 1 species
UACGGGGGGGGCAAGCGUUGUUCGGAAUUACUGGGCGUAAAGGGCGCGUAGGCGGUUUGCUAAGUUGGAUGUGAAAACUCUGGGCUUAACCCAGAGCCUGCAUUCAAAACUGACAGGCUAGAGUUCUGGAGGGGAUAGCGGAAUUCCUGGUGUAGCGGUGAAAUGCGUAGAUAUCAGGAGGAACACCGGUGGCGAAGGCGGUUCUCUGGGCAUUACCUGACGCUGAGGAGCGAAAGCAUGGGGAGCGAACAGG